rnacentral:rRNA from 1 species
CGACCCCAGUCAGUCGACUACCCAAGGU